ensembl:snRNA U6 U6 spliceosomal RNA
AUGCUCACUUCAGCAUCACAUAUGCUAAAAUAGGAGCCAUACAAAGAAGAUUAGCAGGCUCCUGAGCAAGGAUGACAUGCAAAUUUGUGAAACAUUCCAUUUUUUC